UACGUAGGGCGCAAGCGUUGUCCGGAAUUAUUGGGCGUAAAGAGCUCGUAGGCGGCUUGUCACGUCGGGUGUGAAAGCCCGGGGCUUAACCCCGGGUCUGCAUUCGAUACUGGCAGGCUAGAGUGUGGUAGGGGAGAUCGGAAUUCCUGGUGUAGCGGUGAAAUGCGCAGAUAUCAGGAGGAACACCGGUGGCGAAGGCGGGUCUCUGGGCCGUAACUGACGCUGAGGAGCGAAAGCGUGGGGAGCGAACAGG
rnacentral:rRNA from 1 species